rnacentral:rRNA from 1 species
UUUCCAGAGAUGGAUUGGUGCCUUCGGGAACUGUGAGACAGGUGCUGCAUGGCUGUCGUCAGCUCGUGUUGUGAAAUGUUGGGUUAAGUCCCGCAACGAGCGCAACCCUUAUCCUUUGUUGCCAGCGGUUAGGCCGGGAACUCAAAGGAGACUGCCAGUGAUAAACUGGAGGAAGGUGGGGAUGACGUCAAGUCAUCAUGGCCCUUACGACCAGGGCUACACACGUGCUACAAUGGCGCAUACAAAGAGAAGCGACCUCGCGAGAGCAAGCGGACCUCAUAAAGUGCGUCGUAGUCCGGAUUGGAGUCUGCAACUCGACUCCAUGAAGUCGGAAUCGCUAGUAAUCGUGGAUCAGAAUGCCACGGUGAAUACG